rnacentral:rRNA from 1 species
UACGUAGGGGGCAAGCGUUGUCCGGAAUCAUUGGGCGUAAAGCGCGUGUAGGCGGCCCGGUAAGUCCGCUCUGAAAGUCCAGGGCUUAACCCUGGAAAGCGGGUGGAUACUGCCGGGCUAGAAUCCGGAAGAGGCGAGUGGAAUUCCUGGUGUAGCGGUGGAAUGCGCAGAUAUCAGGAGGAACACCAAUAGCGAAGGCAGCUCGCUGGGACGGUAUUGACGCUAAGGCGCGAAAGCGUGGGGAGCAAACAGG